AGCGACGAAACGGCAGAUCCCGUCGGUGUUUGUGGGGAGACGAAGUCAGACCUCUGCCGGCGGCCUGGUGUACCGUCGGGCUGAGCCCUCCUGCGCAGACAGUGGAACGACCGGUUAUUCCUAUGGAAUUUAUUAAAGCAUUUUCCUCCAUCAAUGUGAGGUAAGUUUUCUCCUUUCCAUAUGUAAGUUGGUCUAACAAGGCUUUGGGAGAUGUGACAGAACACCCUAUAGACUGUAAUACAUUUAAUCUUCAAAUUUUUAAAACCAUCUUGCACUCCAAAGACUUCCAAUAUUAUUCUGUUUCUAAUUUCAGAACAUGUCAAGUAUGGGAAUCGUGAUGUACAUGGCCUGGUUAUGGUUCUCAUUUAGAAGGCUAAUUCAAUACUGUUCUAGGAUGAAGUGGCCGAUUUUUCUGUCCUGGUUCUGCUCAGAAGCAGGACUGCAGUCUCAGGCAGCCAUAGUCUUCAGACUAGAGCACAGCUGAUUGGAGCUCUUCAAACACAUCAUACAACCAAGUGAUACAAGAUUAUUUGUAAAGUCAUGAUUCGAAAAAGGGAAAAUUCAUCUUUCUCCUUACUCAAUUCCAUAUGGAAGAAGGAACAUGCAUGAACUUUUUUCGCAGGGUGGCCAGGUCAAGGAGUGCAUAUUAGGCAAAUUCAGUGUGAACAAAAAUGGGAAAACUUUCUCACUGUGAUGUCUAAAAAACAUUAGCUACAUGUAAGUGUAGAAAAUACAAGUAAUAAGCAGUCAGCAGAGCUGAGAUCCAGGUGGGUUAAUGUCUUCUACUUUGUAGAGCUCGAGGCAGGACCCGAGGUAACCCAGGAGCCCUGGUAACUUAGACUGCAUCUUUUUCUCCUGAUUCUAAAAUAUCUUCAUUAACUGCCAACAACUAUUGAGUCUUUACUACAUUAUGCACAUGAAAAUACAAUAUAUACUGGGGUCCUGGAGAAUAUAUCUGUUCUCAAAAUAUGCAUACUGGAAUGACUAGAAUUACUAGAAUAUCUUUCACAAGAGCUGUGGUGUAGGUUGCAGGUGUGGCUCGGAUCUGACGUGGCUGUGGCUCUGGCAUAGGCUGGUAGCUACAGCUCUGAUUAGAUCCCUAGCCUGGGAACCGCCAUAUGCCGAGGGGGCAGCCCUAGAAAAGACAAAAUUAAAUCAAUCAAUCAAUCAAUCAAAUAAAUAAAUAAAUAAAAUAAAUAAAAUUUAGUUACUGUAUCAAGCUUUAGGUUGAUCUCCCCCACCCGGCGCAUACUCAGACCAUGCUUCUUGCUUUCCUUUCUGCAUAGGAUAAGUUCACCAAAGGAAUGCAUGUGAACAAAAGUGACCUAUGCGACUUCUGCUUGCCAUGCUUAAAGAGAAAUUGCUUGGCCUCCUUUUUGAUGCUUCCCUGUUACAAGGGCUGCAACAUAGAUGUGGGAGUGGCCAAAAUCUAUUGAUCAGAUGACAACCCCAAGAACGGCAGAGUUAGCGGCAAGUCGAAAGGAGCCUGGGGCCUUGGGUGAGAGCUUGAGUGAGAGCUCUCUGGCCUGGUCUCAGCAAACUUUUUCUGUAAAGGACCAGAUAGUAAAUGCUUUGGGUUUCGUGGGUCAUAAGGUAUCUAUUCAGCUCUGCCAUGUGUAGUGCAAAAGUAGCCAUGGACAAUACUUAACUACAAAUGAGUUGUGAAUAAGUAUUGCUGUGCUCCAGUAAAACUUUAUUUAAUGGACACUCAAGAUUGAAUUUUAUAUAAUUUUCAUAUGCCACAGAAUAUGCUGGUUUUGAUUUUUUAAGCCAUUUAAAGAUAUAAAAACUGAACAUAUAUGUAUGACUGGGUCACCUCACUGGACAGCAGAAAUUGACAUAACACUGUAAAUCAACUAUACUUUAUUUAAAAAUCCAAAAAAAAAUGGAGUUCCCAUUGUGGCUCAGAGGAAACAAACCUACUAAUAUCCAGGAGGAUGCAGGUUUGAUCCCUGGCCUUGCUCAGCAGGUUAAGGAUCUGUUGUUGCUGUGAGCUGUGGUGUAGGUUGCAGACCAACCCCUAGCCUGGGAACUUCCAUAUGCCAUAGGUGUGGCCCUAAAAAGCAAAAACAAAACAAAACAACAAACAAACAAACAAACAAAAACCCUAUAAAAAAAAGACAAAAAUAUUCUUUUUAAAAAAAAAUUGAAUCAGAGCUGUAGCUGCUGCUGACGCUAGAGUGACGGCAAUGCGGGAUCCAAGCUGCGUCUCUGACCUGCUCCACAGCUCACAGUAACACUGGAUCCUUAACCCACUGAGCAAGGCUAGGGGUAAAACCCAUGUUCUCAUGGGGGCUAGUCAGGCUCAUUACUGCUGAGCCACAAUGGGAACUUCCUGUAAAGACUAUUCUUAAGUUAGAAACAAACAGACAGAGAGCAGGCUAGAUUUGACCCCAGGCUGUGUUUGCCAGCCCCCAACCUAGGCUGCUGGACAGGAAUGGAGACAAUAAACUUCCCAGUCUUUAAGUCACCAUCUGUUGGGAUUUCUGGCCAAAGGAACUUAGCCUCAUCAUGCACACCUGGUAAAGAUGCCCUUAGUUACCAUGGGUGGGCUUAAGAAAAGUGUGUGUUUAGAAAAUCAGUCUUUCACAAUAUUUUUGAUGCUGUUAACUUAUUAUUAUUAUUAUUAUUAUUAUUAUUAUUAUUGGUCUGCUUAUUUUCUUUUUCUUUUCUAAAUAAUGAUUUUUAUUUUUUCCAUUAUAGCUGGUUUACAGUGUUCUGUCAAUUUUCUACUGUACAGCAUGGUGAUCCAGUUACACAUACAUGUAUACAUACUUUUUUCUCACAUUAUCAUGCUCCGUCUAAAUGACUAGAUAUAGUUCCCAGUGCUAUCCAGCAGAAUCUCAUUGCUUAUCCAUUCCAAAGGCAAUAGUUUGCAUCUAUGAACCCAAAUUCCCAAUCCAUCCCACUCCCUCCCCCUCCCCCUUGGCAACCACAAGUGUGUUCUCCAAUUCCAUGAUUUUCUUUUUGGUGGAAAGGUUCAUUUGUGCCAUAUAUUAGAUUCCAGAUAUGUGAUAUCAUGUGGUAAUUGACUUUCUCUUUCUGACUUACUUCACUUAGUAUGAGAGUCUCUAGUUCCAUCCAUGUUGCUGCGAAUGGCAUUAUUUUUUCUUUUUUAUGUCUGAGUAGUAUUCCAUUGUGUAUAUAUACAAUGGAAUACUAUAUACACAUCUUCCGAAUCCAAUCAUCUGCCGAUGGACAUUUGGGUUGUUUCCAUGUCUUGGCUAUUGUGAAUGGUGCUGCAAUGAACAUACAGGUGCAUGUGUCUUUUUCAAGGAAAGUUUUGUCCGGAUAUAUUCCUAAGAGUGGGAUUGCUGGGUCAUAUGGUAGUUCUAUGUGUAGUUUUCUAAGGUACCUCUAUACUGUUUUCCAUAGUGGUUGUACCAAUUUGCAUUCCCAUCAACAGUGCAGGGGGUUCCCUUUUCUCCACACCCUUUCCAGCAUUCAUUAUUUGUGGACUUAUUAAUGAUGGCCAUUCUGACUGGUGUGAGGUGGUACCUCAUAGUAGUUUUAAUCUUCAUUUCUCUAAUAAUCAGUUCUGUUGAGCAUUUUUUCAUGUGCCUGUUGGCCAUCUAUAUAUCUUCUUUGGGAGAAAUGUCUAUUCAGUUCUUUUGCCCCUUUUUCUCUUGGGUUGUUGGCUUAUUUGCUGUUGAGUUGUAUAAGUUGUUUGUAUGUUUUAGAGAUUAAGCCCUUGUCAGUUGUGAUGCUGUUUACUUUGUAAAUUUUAACCACCUUUUUUUUUUAAGGUAUUGAUAUACCAUUAGACCCAGUAUUGAUAUUUGGUUUUCGGUACUUAUGUUUUUUGUAGUCAUGGAAAACAAUGGUUAAUUGACAAGAAUUACCAUUCUCUGGCUUAGCCCUCCUCCUCCCCCCUAAAAAUCACAAAAUUUGAACUAUUUUUUCAUUGUUUUCUUUUUUAAUAAUCCACAAUAAAUGCUUAUGAGGCAACUGCAUGCAAAAAUCCCACCAGGAACUGCAUCAAAUUUGACUUAAAAGACACGAUCCUGGAGUUCCUGUCAUGGCACAGUGGUUAACGAAUCCGACUAGGAACCAUGAGGUUGCGGGUUCCCUCCCUGCCCUUGCUCAGUGGGUUAACGAUCCGGCGUUGCUGUGAGCUGUGGUGUAGGUUGCAGACGUGGCUCGGAUCCGACGUGGCUCGGAUCCCGCAUUGCUGUGGCUCUGGCGUAGGCCAGCGGCUACAGCUCCGAUUAGACCCCUAGCCUGGGAACCUCCAUAUGCCGCGGGAGCGGCCCAAAGAAAUAGCAAAAA
rnacentral:lncRNA from 1 species